rnacentral:rRNA from 1 species
GAUGAACGCUGGCGGCGUGCCUAAUACAUGCAAGUCGAACGGGGAGUAGCAAUACUCUUAGUGGCGAACGGGUGAGUAACGCGUUGGUACCUGCCCCGAAGCGGGGGAUAACGGACCGAAAGGUCCGCUAAUACCCCAUGUGCUCGGUAACGAGUAAAGGUGAAAACCACUUUGGGAGGGGCCUGCGUCCCAUCAGCUAGUUGGUAAGGUAACGGCUUACCAAGGCGAUGACGGGUAGGGGACCUGAGAGGGUGGCCCCCCACAAUGGAACUGAAACACGGUCCAUACACCUACGGGUGGCAGCGGUAGGGAAUAUUGGUAAUGGGCGCAAGCCUGAGCCAGCAACGCCGCGUGUGCGAUGACGGCCUUCGGGUUGUAAAGCACUUUUGACUGGGACGGGGAAGGACGGUACCGGUCGAAUCAGCCUCGGCUAACUACGUG